UAAACACUCGCUUAAGGUGACUUACUACAAACCAGAUGAGAAAACACUCGCUAAGAUGUGCGAUGCUGUGCCACGACAUGGAAUUAGCAGUGCUCAAUGGAGAAAGUUAGUUAAGUAUUGGGCUUCGGAUGAAGGGCAAAAACUUUCAGAAUAUGGAAAGGCUGCACGGGCCGCUCAAAAUCAAUUUCAUAGAUCUGGUUGUAACAGCUAUGCGAAUCAACAAGCUGAUUAUGAAGACGAGCAUGGAAAAAAAUGAGCUUAUUAGCCCUUUGGAUAAAGUCUCAUUCCGGCAAGGACGAGACCUUUCUUCCAAGCACAGUCACUGAAGAUU